UACUCCUACGGGAGGCAGCAGUGGGGAAUAUUGCGCAAUGGGGGGAACCCUGACGCAGCCAUGCCGCGUGAAUGAAGAAGGCCUUCGGGUUGUAAAGUUCUUUCGGUAUUGAGGAAGGUUGAUGUGUUAAUAGCACAUCAAAUUGACGUUAAAUACAGAAGAAGCACCGGCUAACUCCGUGCCAGCAGCCGCGGUAAUACGGAGGGUGCGAGCGUUAAUCGGAAUAACUGGGCGUAAAGGGCACGCAGGCGGUUAUUUAAGUGAGGUGUGAAAGCCCUGGGCUUAACCUAGGAAUUGCAUUUCAGACUGGGUAACUAGAGUACUUUAGGGAGGGGUAGAAUUCCACGUGUAGCGGUGAAAUGCGUAGAGAUGUGGAGGAAUACCGAAGGCGAAGGCAGCCCCUUGGGAAUGUACUGACGCUCAUGUGCGAAAGCGUGGGGAGCAAACAGGAUUAGACACCCUGGUAGUCCACGCUGUAAACGCUGUCGAUUUGGGGGUUGGGGUUUAACUCUGGCGCCCGUAGCUAACGUGAUAAAUCGACCGCCUGGGGAGUACGGCCGCAAGGUUAAAACUCAAAUGAAUUGACGG
rnacentral:rRNA from 1 species